rnacentral:tRNA from 1 species
AGGGGUAUAUCUCAGUGGUAGAGUGUUUGCUUAGCAUGAAUGAGGUCCUGGGUUCAAUCCCCAUGUAUCUCCA